UUUGAAAGCUGGCGGCAUGCCUUACACAUGCAAGUCGAGCGGUAACAGGUCUUCGGAUGCUGACGAGUGGACAACGGGCGAGUAAUACACCGGAACGUGCCUUGUUGUGGGGGAUAACUACUCGACAGAGUGGUUAAUACCGCAUGGGACCCACGGAUGAUAGCAGGGGAUCGUAAGACCUUGUGCUACUAGCGCGGCCGAGGGCAGAUCAGGUAGUUGGUGGGAUAAAAGCGGACCAAGCCGACGAGCUGUAGUUGGUCUGAGAGCACGAUCAGCCACACUGGGACUGAGACACGGCCCAGACUCCUACGGGAGGCAGCAGUGGGGAAUUUUGGACAAUGGGCGAAAGCCUGAUCCAGCAAUGCCGCGUGGAGGAUGAAGGCCUUCGGGUGGGAAACUGCUUUUGUACGGAACGAAAAGCUCUGGGUUAAUACCCUGGGGUCAUGACGGUACCGUAAGAAUAAGCACCGGCUAACUACGUGCCAGCCGCCGCAGUAACAC
rnacentral:rRNA from 1 species